GGAUGAACGCUGGCGGCGUGCCUACUACAUGCAAGUCGAGCGAACAGCUGAGGAGCUUGCUCCUCUGACGUUAGCGGCGGACGGGUGAGUAACACGUGGAUAACCUACCUAUAAGACUGGGAUAACUUCGGGAAACCGGAGCUAAUACCGGAUAAUAUAUUGAACCGCAUGGUUCAAUAGUGAAAGACGGUUUUGCUGUCACUUAUAGAUGGAUCCGCGCCGCAUUAGCUAGUUGGUAAGGUAACGGCUUACCAAGGCAACGAUGCGUAGCCGACCUGAGAGGGUGAUCGGCCACACUGGAACUGAGACACGGUCCAGACUCCUACGGGAGGCAGCAGUAGGGAAUCUUCCGCAAUGGGCGAAAGCCUGACGGAGCAACGCCGCGUGAGUGAUGAAGGUCUUCGGAUCGUAAAACUCUGUUAUUAGGGAAGAACAAAUGUGUAAGUAACUAUGCACGUCUUGACGGUACCUAAUCAGAAAGCCACGGCUAACUACGUG
rnacentral:rRNA from 1 species